rnacentral:rRNA from 1 species
CAUAGCGACUAUCGUGGCAUAUCAAUAAGCGGAGGAAAAGAAACUAACAAGGAUUCCCCUAGUAACGGCGAGUGAAGCGGGAAGAGCUCAAAUUUGAAAUCUUAAAGGGUUUCCCUUUACGAAUUGUAGUUUAAAGAAGUGUUUUCUGUUGGAGUUUCGGUAAAAGUUCUUUGGAAUAGGACAUCAUAGAGGGUGAGAAUCCCGUAUUUGACGUCACUUUCUAGCUACGUUGUGAUACACUUUCAAAGAGUCGGAUUGUUUGGGAAUGCAGUCCAAGAUGGGUGGUAAAUUUCAUCUAAAGCUAAAUAUUGGCGAGAGACCGAUAGCGAACAAGUACCGUGAGGGAAAGAUGAAAAGAACUUUGAAAAGAGAGUUAAACAGUACGUGAAAUUGUCAAAAGGGAAGCGUUUGACACCAGUGUUGUUUAGUUGAAAAUCAAUUCAAUAGUUUUUGAUUUUAAGUAGUAUUGACUUCAUCAGCUUGCUGCUUUCUUUCCGAAAUUAUUGAAUGCACUUUUCAGUUAACAAGUCAACAUCAAUUUCUUUUGUUGUAAAAGGGUAAGAGGAAGGUGGCUUGCGCUUCGGCUCAAGUGUUUAUAGCCUUUUAUCUCUGCAAUCGGAGAGAUUGAGGUCUGCAGCGUAGAUCCUUCGGGGUUAGAUACAUUGGUGCUAAGCUAUAGCCUUGUAUAGACAACUUGUUGACUAUGCUCAGUCAUGUAGCUUACUCGCUGAUGCUAUUUUACCUACGCUUAGGAUGUUGAUAUGCAUGACUGAUAU